UUCUCCUCUCACCGACUCUCCACUUUUAGACGCCUCCUCCAGCAUCACCCCCCUCUGAUCCUCGUAACCGACUCUCCACAGAACCCACAUCUCCUCCACCCAGCAAAUUCUCCGUCCAUCUCCAAAUCCCAUCAGGCGCAGAAACUCCGGCAUCACCCUCCCUCCGAUUGCGAACCCUACACGGCAACAAGAACUCCACCUUCGAGUUUUUCAGAGGCAGAUCGUAUUCGUCCAACCUACGCCCCCUCUCUUUAACACACGAGAGGACCUCAGAAGUCUUUGAAAAGAAGAGGAACAAUUUCAUUCAGUUCUUGUACGCAUCUUCAAAAUAAUAAACCCCAGAGCUCAUCCCAAAGCAAGCUCUCUCUCUCAUGGACGACCUACCUGCGCUGCCAAUCACCUCGCCCUCUCCCUUUCCCUCUCCCUCUCCCUCUCCCUCUCAUCAUAUAUACAACCUACCUGUAGAGCUAAACGCCGACAUCCUGAGUAGACUCCCCCCAGAUCACCUCGCCCGCAGCCGAAUCGUCUCGAAAACCUUCUCCGACAUCUCCACUGAAGUCCAAUCAGUCAACCUCCUCUGCUCCUUGGACCGCUACACCAACUCCGGACGACCAAUCACUCCGUUCAAGAAAAUCGCAACGAAGUUCAUUUUGAGCUUCAAACACGUGCAUUCCAUCUCGAUCGGCGUGGAGGAGCGGGCCAACCAUAAGUGCUUAGAUGUAAAAGUGGACGAUCUGAAUUUGACGGCAGUAAGUUUUGUGGGCGGGUGGUUGAGAGAAGUACGUGGAGGGUUGACUUCGCUUUCGAUUUCGGAUUACCGGGGGCAUUCUCGUCGGAAACGGUCGGAGGUUCUGUCUUUGAUUUCUUUUCACUGUAAGUUACUACUUGCGCGUUUGUUUAUAUCUACAAAUGGUUCUCUUAGAUUUAUGUUUUUUCUUUUGGAAGUGUGAUGUCUUAGAAGAAAUAUUUUAUUGAUUUAAAUAAUAUGAAACAUGAGACAUUUAUUUAUACAAGAGAAAAGAGUCUAACUAGGGAAGAAAAUCAUCCUAAUUAUAAAAAAAUUGUAAUCAAUUACAAUCAAAUCACAAUCUCAAUAUCACGAUAUGAUUUUGUAUAUGCAUUUGUUCUAAUAAUACUCCAUAGAGAACAAAAAAAACUGUUAACCGAAUUACUACAAAGAUAAUUUUAUCUAUUGACAUAAAUAGGUUACAAAGAUAACUCAUCAUGUCCUCGUGUCAAAAAUAAAUUUAUAAAAAUUAAAGAGUUAUCCCUUAUUCAGAAGAAUAAUUUUUUCUCGUAUCUGCAGGGAUAUAUUGAUUGAGUUACUAUAACUUCGACUGAUUUCUAAUUUAAUUCUAGGAAAGAAAGUUGUUUGGAUUAGGCUCUAUGUUUGCAGAAAAAUUUGAAUUAGGCUCUAUGUUUUAGGAACUUCGGAAUAUAUUGUACCUUUUCGGGUAGAAUAUUGGCUUAGCCCUAGAAUUUGGCUGAGAGAAGUUGAUUCUUGUUUAUGCAUUUUAGAAUGGCACGAGUGGUGCUUCUAUGAAGUUUUUUUAAAUUUAAUUAUGCAAAAUGAGUUUGAUUUUCAGGCAUUGGCUGCAGAAUAUGGAAGAGUUUGCUACUUUUCCAUGUUUAUCACUUUAAUUGUUGAUUUAGCGUAGAAUUUGUUUGAAAAACGUUGACUUUCAUUUAUAAAAUCACAAACUUCUUGGUAAUUGUGCUCCAAAUUCAGCAUUAGAACACUUGCAUUGUUACUUUAUGUAUCUAAACAAUACUUUUUCGUCCUCUUCUAUCUAUAUGCAGGCAGCAAAAAUUUGCAUGAAUUAGUGCUGAAGAAUGCAUGGCUGUCAACCAAUGGCUUGAGUAGUCCAAUGCUCAAGCUCACUAGUUUGACACUUGCAUUCGUAAAACUAGAUGAUGAAAACCUAGACAAGGUGAACAGUUGCUUCCCAUCUUUGCAGAUUCUCAAUUUAAUUGGGGUUGAAGGACUCGAGAAUCCUCAAAUCAGUCUCUUGCACCUUAAAGCAUUUGAAUAUAAGGGGUCCGGUUUGGCAACUAUUCCUCCGCUGCACAUGAAACAUAUGCCCGAGCAUUUUAUGCUCAACGAUGGGGGUCCAUGGACCAGGUUAUCUUUUAAGGCCCCGUUCCAGAACUUUAAAUAAGUACUUAUUUUUUAAAAAGACAAUUUUAAGCUAAAAAAUAAUGUAUUUACACAAAUAAUUUUCCUACCAAUAUAGAUCUUGUUUAAUAGAUCUUAUCAAGAUCUUUUAUACGGAACAAAAAAAAUCAAAAAAAUAUUUUUUAUUUACAUUAUUUUUGAAUUUGAAAAUGUAAAAUAAGCUGCUUAUUUUUUAAGAAGGUUUCUGGACCGGAGCCUAACUACGUUUAGGGUCCAUUGAUUUACGAGUGAUUUACCGGCCGGUCUUAAAAAAGUGUGUAAAAUUCCCGUUAAGGAUUAAUCAUGUUUUAAUUUACAUCUUAGUCUAGUUACCUCUACGAAGUUACAAUUUUGAUU